UCCGCCCAGGCUCAAUAUCUCUCAUCCGAGUCAGGCAACACUUCAUUUAACAAUCUUCACGAAACCUAUCUCUACUCCUCUACUCAAUCGCAUCCUCUCAACCCACCAUAUCCUGCUACAUCACAGGACAGACCCCUCUAGACCAACAUCUAGACCCAGCCAACUCCACCCCAAAACCUAUCAUUCUACCCUCUUCUCUACUUAACUCUAGUUCAUCAAUUUCACUUCAAAAAACCCCCUAGCUCUAGAAUUAUUCUAGAAAUUUUCCAUAAACUUUCUCAUUCCUCCCCCUUCUUAUCUAAAUCCUUUUCUCUCUUACCGGGAAUUUAUACGUCAUCUUCCACUUGAUAAGACCUUUCACUGAAAACUAUUUUUUAGAUUUCUCUUCCUGGUCACCAACUAUUAACUCCCUCCCGGAAUAGGCAGAACCACCUUCACAUAAGGACGUAAGCUUUAUAUUAGGUUUCAAGUUAAUAGUUAUCUUGCGCGAUGCCCCCGGCGGGGAAAACACCCGCACGGGGUUACGCUUAUGGGGAGUUGAGUUCCCCGGGGCUAAUAACCCCGGGUCUCUCAUCUCCGACAGGGGAACCGAGGGUGGUGAAAGGUUAGCUGCCCUAAUUCCGGUUGAUUCUGCCGGACCCGAUCGCUAUAGGGGUAGGGCUAAGCCAUGGGAGUCGUACGCUCUCGGGAAGAGGGCGUGGCGGACGGCUGAGUAACACGUGGCUAACCUGCCCUUGGGAUCUGGAUAACCCCGGGAAACUGGGGCUAAUCCGGAGCAGGCAAGGGAAUCUGGAAUGAUCUCUUGCCUAAAGGCUUCUCGGCUGAUCCCGUCGAGAGGCGCCCAAGGAUGGGGCUGCGGCCCAUCAGGCUGUUGGGGGAGUAAAGGUCCCCCAAACCGAUAACGGGUAGGGGCCGUGGGAGCGGGAGCCCCCAGUUGGGCACUGAGACAAGGGCCCAGGCCCUACGGGGCGCACCAGGCGCGGAACGUCCCCAAUGCGGGAAACCGUGAGGGCGUUACCCCUAGUGCCCUCGCAAGAGGGCUUUUCUCCACUCCAGAAAGGUGGAGGAAUAAGCGGGGGGCAAGACUGGUGUCAGCCGCCGCGGUAAUACCAGCCCCGCGAGUGAUCGGGACGUUUAUUGGGCUUAAAGCGCCCGUAGCCGGCCUGUAAAGUCACCGUUUAAAGACCCGGGCUCAACUCGGGGAACGGCGGUGAUACUUACAGGCUAGGGGGCGGGAGAGGUCGGAGGUACUCCCGGAGUAGGGGCGAAAUCCUCAGAUCCCGGGAGGACCACCAGUGGCGAAAGCGUCCGGCUAGAACGCGCCCGACGGUGAGGGGCGAAAGCCGGGGUAGCAAAUAGGAUUAGAUACCCUAGUAGUCCCGGCUGUAAACGAUGCAGGCUAGGUGUCGCGUAGGCUUUGUGCCUGCGCGGUGCCGCAGGAAAACUGGUAAGCCCGCCGCCUGGGGAGUACGGCCGCAAGGCUGAAACUUAAAGGAAUUGGCGGGGGAGCACCACAAGGGGUGGAACCUGCGGCUCAAUUGGAGUCAACGCCUGGAAUCUCACCGGGGAGACCGCAGGAUGACGGCCAGGCUAACGACCUUGCCAGACUCGCGGAGAGGAGGUGCAUGGGCCGUCGCCAGCUCGUGUUGUGAAAUGUCCGGGUUAAGUCCGGCAACGAGCGAGACCCCCCCACUUCUUAGUUGGUAACCGUCUCUCCGGAGACGGUCCACACUAGAAGGACUGCCGGUGUUAAACCGGAGGAAGGAGGGGCCACGGCAGGUCAGCAUGCCCCGAAACUUCCGGGCCGCACGCGGGUUACAAUGGCAGGGACAGCGGGAUCCGACCCCGAGAGGGGAAGGCAAUCCCACAAACCCUGCCUCAGUUGGGAUCGAGGGCUGAAACUCGCCCUCGUGAACGAGGAAUCCCUAGUAACCGCGGGUCAACAACCCGCGGUGAAUACGUCCCUGCUCCUUGCACACACCGCCCGUCGCUCCACCCGAGUGGAGGGGAAGUGAGGCCUCUUGCCCCUCGGGGUGGGAGGUCGAGCUUCUCCUCCGCGAGGGGGGAGAAGUCGUAACAAGGUAGCCGUAGGGGAACCUGCGGCUGGAUCACCUCACAUUUGUGCUCCCCACAAGGGCAGCUACCUCACUAAAACUCUCGGUUCCUCUGAUCAUGCAGCUCUCCUCUUCCGAGAGGAGAGUGAAGUUGCCUAGGAUCAUCCAGGGGUGCUAUGGCAUCUCUGGACUCCAAUGAGGCUAGCUGUGACCAACACCAGACAGCCAUCUAGGGAUGGUUGCGCUAGGGACAAGGAGUCGUCCGGUGGAUGGCUCGGCUCAGGGGCCUAAGAAGGGCGCGGCAAGCGGCGAAAUGCCCAGGGGAGGCGCACGCAGCCUUAGAUCCUGGGAUCCCCGAAUGGGAAUUCCUGCCUGGAGUUAACAGCUCCAGGCGUCCCGUAAGGGACGGGAACCCCCCGAACGGAAGCAUCUUAGUAGGGGGAGGAGGAGAAAUCAAUUGAGAUUCCCUGAGUAGGGGCGACCGAAAGGGGAACAGCCCAAACCAAAUCCGCUAGUGACGAGCUGGCGGAGAUG
rnacentral:rRNA from 1 species